UACGUAGGCAGCGAGCGUUUGUUCGGAGUUACUGGGCGUAAAGAGUGCGUAGGCGGUUUUCUAAGUUUGGUGUGAAAUCUCCCGGCUUAACUGGGAGGGUGCGCCGAAGACUGGAAGGCUUGAGUAUGGGAGAGGUAAGCGGAAUUCCUGGUGUAGCGGUGAAAUGCGUAGAUAUCAGGAGGAACACCUGCGGUGUAGACGGCUUACUGGACCAUAACUGACGCUGAGGCACGAAAGCGUGGGUAGCAAACAGG
rnacentral:rRNA from 1 species